rnacentral:rRNA from 1 species
CCUACGGGAGGCAGCAGUGGGGAAUAUUGCACAAUGGGGGAAACCCUGAUGCAGCGACGCCGCGUGAGUGAAGAAGUAUUUCGGUACGUAAAGCUCUAUCAGCAGGGAAGAAAAUGACGGUACCUGACUAAGAAGCCCCGGCUAACUACGUGCCAGCAGCCGCGGUAAUACGUAGGGGGCAAGCGUUAUCCGGAUUUACUGGGUGUAAAGGGAGCGUAGACGGCAGCGCAAGUCUGGAGUGAAAUCCCAUGGCUUAACCAUGGAACUGCUUUGGAAACUGUGCAGCGAGAGUGCAGGAGAGGUAAGCGGAAGUCCUGGUGUAGCGGUGAAAUGCGUAGAUAUUAGGAGGAACACCAGUGGCGAAGGCGGCUUACUGGACUGUAACUGACGUUGAGGCUCGAAAGCGUGGGGAGCAAACAGGAUUAGAUACCCCUGUAGUC